CCCACGGGACUUUGCGUUUUGUUCGGUUUUCACAGGUGUUCGGAUUGUAGAGGUAAACAGAAGUCGACACCAAAAUAAUUUUAGCACUUACUGACAAGGGAUAAUUAUAGGUGACACAACAGACGACUAUUUAUUUUCGUGAUGAUAUAGAUGUAAGCGUAAAAAUAUAAGUAGAUAAAGAUAGACCUAUUGGUACAUUUGUGUUUAUAAAUCAAACGCCACUCCAUCAAUCACGCUCGUCGUUGUGAAACUACAAUGUAUAAAUCGUUCAAUGAUGUCCGACGUGGAGCAAUUUUGCUUUUUAUAAUUAUUUUCUAAUCCAUUAAUUCACUGACCACUUCAUAUUCCAAGUCACUGUCAAAUGACGAUUCCGUAGUUGAGUCGAGAACGUCAUUGUACACACGAGUUCUCGGACUAAACUUGCCACCCGCUGACUGAUACUUCGCAACACGAUAAGAGUGAAACAACAGCAGGGGUCCAGUUGUGUCCAGUUUAUUCUCGGACUUUAUCGUUGUUAAAUAGCUUACGGAAGUCUUCAGGAGCACCCGAAUCAAAUAUAUAGGGCCUCUAAAGGGAAUCCGGCAAUCGAAAGCCAUUGACCUUGUCGUGUUGCAUGACUUCCUAAUCCAGUGAAAGGCUUUAAAACUUUAAAACUAUUACUUAAUUAAACAGUUUAGCUACAGAAUGGCAGUCACGAUAAUUAUUUGAGUAACGUGCAUUUAAUUGAUCUAAGGGAAAGUUCCUUUCUUGUCAUUUUCGGCGAUGGGGGCAGCUGACCAGUUUAACGUUUCUUUACAACAUAAAUCAUUUGAUCACUGAAUGCAUGGACACAAACAUGCUAAUUAGUUUGUCAUAACAACUCACCAUUUAAUUUAACCUCAAAUACCCUCGGGGAUACUCUGUCAUCCUGUGUUUGUUUAAUGAAAUCAUGAAAAUAAUUAAAAAAAAUUUUUUUGUUUUGAUUGCUAUCGAUCGAUUUUGACAGGUAAUUUUUAGAUACAUAUUUACUAUCGAGCCUUCAAAAAUCAUUCGGAAUUCGGUGUUGACAGGGUUCGGUUUUUUCAGGUUAGAUUAACGUUAAUUG
rnacentral:lncRNA from 1 species